CCCAAACGCAAGCAUCUGUUCCCAAAAACACUUCUUCGUCUCUAGAUAUAAUGGCAGAUGUUAUCCUCUCCAAGACCAUCAAUGUGGUGGUAAUGGCAAUCUUUUUGAUGUUUUUCUUGCUUUUGUCCACUGAGUUGGCCAUUUCUGCCGUGGCCGAGGCAGUUCCAGAGCUUCAACUCGGACGCAAGCUACUCGAAGAUGGCUACAAUACCACCGGACGAAGUGGGUACAACUGAUUAGUUCCUUUGAUGAUAUCAAAUAAAAGAUGAUGAAGACGACUACUACUACUACUAAUAAUAAAUGCCCCGGUUUGUUAUGUUAUGAUGUCUUGUAUGGUCAUUUAUAAGUGGCCUCCCUUUGAUUAAGUAUUGGUCAUGUAUAUGCCCAUGAUAUUGGAAAAAUUACACUACUUUAAUGUCAUAAUUUUCUGAUUAAUGUGAAUUUUUCCUCCUCAA